rnacentral:rRNA from 1 species
UGGGGAAUAUUGGACAAUGGACCGAGAGUCUGAUCCAGCAAUUCUGUGUGCACGAUGAAGUUUUUCGGAAUGUAAAGUGCUUUCAGUUGGGAAGAAAGAAAUGACGGUACCAACAGAAGAAGUGACGGCUAAAUACGUGCCAGCAGCCGCGGUAAUACGUAUGUCACGAGCGUUAUCCGGAUUUAUUGGGCGUAAAGCGCGUCUAGGUGGUUAUGUAAGUCUGAUGUGAAAAUGCAGGGCUCAACUCUGUAUUGCGUUGGAAACUGUAUAACUAGAGUACUGGAGAGGUAAGCGGAACUACAAGUGUAGAGGUGAAAUUCGUAGAUAUUUGGAGGAAUGCCGAUGGGGAAGCCAGCGUACUGGACAGAUACUGACGCUAAAGCGCGAAAGCGUGGGUAGCAAACAGG